rnacentral:piRNA from 1 species
UCCGAUCACCGUGCCUCACACUUUGCCUU